rnacentral:lncRNA from 1 species
AUCAGAGCAUGCCUAAGAGGACAGGGGAAAAGCAGGCGCUGAGACCACCAGCGGCCUGAAGGGAGAUGUUCACAUGGAUCGAAUACACUCACUGGAGGGAGCACUUUGUGACAGCAGAAAGAACACCAAUCCCGGGCAGGAGACCAAAGAUCUAAGUCAAACACAACAAGAGAGCAGUACAUUGGGGCCAGCCACUCACCAUCAGCCUUGAUUUCCUCAUCAGUCAAACAAAGGGUGGUCGCUAAUGAACGCUUCUAGUUUUCACGUUCUGCGUCAGUGGUUCUUGUUCAGACCUCGAGGAAUCUGGAAGAGACCAUGGAGAGACGGCUGGUCACCUGCCAGGCUAAGGGAAUGAGCAACACCCGAAGUGCCAGAAACAGCUCCUGCAGAAAAUGUGGCCACACCGACCUCCAAGUCUCUGUCCUCCAGGCCAAAAUACAGAAGGCUUGAAACACCGUGGAUAAUGGCUGGGCAGAGAACAACGAACCGGACUGUCUUUCUCUCACAAGUGUUUAUGGAAGUCUGGCAGUCCGUCUUUAAGUAAAUAGAUUUGUUUUAAUGGAGCAAUCUAUCAAAUAAGCAGGGCUGCUGAGAAGGGGGGAAGGAAGAUACAGUGCUGCUCCCUCGCCCUUGGGAGCCAUUUCUUUAAGGAUAACAAAUGCGAGUGAGGUAGUGAUACUCAAAGCAGGAAAAAUAAUAGCCUGUGGCUUAGGAUGGUCUCAUCUAAACUCAACGUGUGGAUGGGUUUUGUGUGUUUAAACAGGCAGCUCUGCAUCUCAAAAACACGGAAGAAGG